rnacentral:rRNA from 1 species
AUGAAGUUCAUGAAGCUGGGCUCCAAGCCGGACGCCUUCCAGUCCGGCGGCGCCGACGUCAGUUUUGACAUUUUCCUGAGCUUCUCCACAAUUGGUAUGCGUGAUUUCGGGGGUGAAAGCUUUGUAGGAGCGUUAGGCGGAUCGGUGGUCUCUGACCUUGCAACGGAUGUUAUUGUGCAUAUUGGUGAAGUCAAAUUCUACUUGCACAAGUUUCCCCUUCUGUCCAAGAGCAGCAAACUUCAGAAGCUAGUCCUUAAGGCUACUGAGAAAGGGACAGAUGACAUCCACAUAGAUGAUUUACCCGGGGGAGCAAAAGGGUUUGAAAUAUGUGCAAAAUUCUGCUAUGGGAUGGUUGUCACCCUCAGUCCCCACAAUGUUGUUGCAGCAAGAUGUGCAGCAGAGUUCCUUGGAAUGACCGAAGAUAUGGACAAAGGGAACUUGAUAUUCAAAAUCGAGGUCUUUAUAAACUCCAGCAUCCUCCGGAGCUGGAAAGACUCGAUCAUUGUUCUCCAGAGCACGAAGGCACUGUUACCUUGGUCUGAGGAGCUGAAGGUUGUCGGUAGAUGUAUCGACGCCAUUGCUUCGAAGACCUCUGUAGAUCCUGCAAAUGUAUCCUGGUCAUACAGUUAUAAUAAGAAAGGAGUAGCCUGCACUGAAAUAAUUGAGCCGGCAGGAAAAACUUCGGUAGCUCCCAAGGACUGGUGGGUUGAGGACUUGUGUGAAUUGGAUGUUGAUCUCUACAAGAGAGUUAUGGUUGCUAUCAAAUCCAAGGGGAGGAUGUCACCUGACUUGAUAGGAGAAGCCCUCAAAGCCUAUGCAGUUAGGUGGCUGCCAGACUCUUACGACGCUCUGGUCGCUGAUGAUUACAUGAGAAGGAACCAAUGCUUGGUGGAGACCAUAAUAUGGUUGCUGCCGUCAGAUAAGAGCUCGGGUUGCUCUUGCAGGUUUCUCCUGAAGCUCUUGAAAGUUGCUAUAUUAGUUGGGUCUGGGGAUCAUGUGAAGGAGGAGCUCAUGAGAAGGAUCAGUUUCCAGCUGCACAAAGCUUCGGUGAAGGAUCUCUUGUUGCCUGCUGCUUCGCCCAGUGAGGGCAUGCAUGAUGUUCAUUUGGUCCAUAAUCUUGUUCAGAGAUUUGUUGCAAGAACAGCAUUGUCUCACAAUGGCGAUUUCGUCGAGAAAUCUGAUGAGAAAAUGAUUGAGCUCAACUUUGAGCAAGAAUCCACUUUGGCUCUAGGGGAGUUGGUUGAUGGGUACCUAUCUGAAGUAGCUGCAGAUCCAGACCUUGAAUUCUCCACCUUUGUAGAACUAGCUACGGCGGUGCCAGAAGCAGCUAGACCUGUUCAUGACGGCUUGUACUACGCGGUUGAUGCGUAUAUCAAGGAACAUCCAGACAUAAACAAAGCAGACAAAAAGAAGAUCUGCAGCCUGAUAGAUGUCAAGAAGCUUUCGACAGAUGCAUGCGUGCAUGCCACACAAAACGACCGCCUGCCUCUCCGGGUGGUGGUGCAGGUCCUCUUCUUCCAGCAGCUGAGGGCGGGUUCAAGCAGUGUACCAGCCCCAACUGACGGCGGAGAGCAUGCUUGUGCAAAGCCUGUGCAGGAACAAAGCGAGCACUGCGAAAGGCGGAUACCGAGGCACCCAAACAAGCUGGAUAAGCAAGUGACAAGCCUAAGCGCAAGAGGAGAGGGCGAGGACCGGCACGUCGAGCUCAGGGGAGGCAGAAGCAGCUUCAAGGAUCAAGUUGUUGGCAGAAACAGCUUCAAAGAUCAAGUUGUUGGCAGGAACAGCUUCAAGGACCAACUCGGAGGCCUCCUGCUGCAGUCGCGGUCGAGGAGGAUAUUCGACAAGCUGUGGAGCAGCAAGGGGCAUGGAGAGAACGGCAAGGGUUCAGAGACGUCCGGCAGCUCACAGAGCCCGCCAUCGACGGCGAAGCCCACGGAAGUGAAGCCCUCUCCUCUCCCCCCUCUUAGGAACAGAAGGUAUUCUGUUUCAUAG